GCCUGGUGGUUCAGUUGGUUGAACAUCUGACUUUGGCUCAGGUCAUGAUCUCAAGGUCCAUGAGUUCAAGCCCCGUAUCGGGCU
rnacentral:tRNA from 1 species